rnacentral:rRNA from 1 species
GGGGGGGGGGGGGGGGGGGGGGGGCGGGGGGGGGGCGAGCGGAAGGGGGCGGCGGUUGGGGGGGGCGCGAGGGGCGAACGGGGGAGUAACACGGGAGGAACCUGCCGGCGACUUGGGGAUAACUUGAGGAAACUGGGGCUAAUACCGGAUAGGAGCUCGGGCUGCACGGGGGGGGUUGGAAAGUUUCGGCGGUUGGGGAUGGACUCGCGGCUGAUCAGCUGGUUGGGGGGGGAGUGGCUGACCAAGGCUUUGACGGAUAGCCGGCCUGAGAGGGUGACCGGCCACAUUGGGACUGAGAUACGGCCCAGACUCCUACGGGAGGCAGCAGUGGGGAAUAUUGCACAAUGGGCGGAAGCCUGAUGCAGCAACGCCGCGUGCGGGAUGACGGCCUUCGGGUUGUAAACCGCUUUCGCCUGUGACGAAGCGUGAGUGACGGUAAUGGGUAAAGAAGCACCGGCUAACUACGUG